UACGUAGGGUGCAAGCGUUGUUCGGAAUCAUUGGGCGUAAAGCGCGUGUAGGUGGUUAGAUAAGUCGAUUGUGAAAUCCCUGGGCUCAACCGAGGAAGUGCAGUCGAAACUAUCUAGCUAGAGGACGGCAGAGAAGGUGGAAUUCCAAGUGUAGAGGUGAAAUUCGUAGAUAUUUGGAGGAAUACCUGUGGCGAAGGCGGCCUUCUGGACCGGUCCUGACACUGAGACGCGAAAGCGUGGGGAGCAAACAGG
rnacentral:rRNA from 1 species